UGUCAUCGCAUGUUUACGUUUGCGUGAUUCAUCAGUUUGGGCGACAAUUUUUCAAUCGCGCGAGUGGUAUUCUCGGCGUUUUUAGUCGUUUACGGACAAUAUAUUGAGCACAAUUAAGGCUGUGAAUGGUGGGGACCUUUUGCUGCCAGUGCGCACUCUUGCCAAGGAAGAGUGGACUGCAGAAACUCCCAAAAAUCCCGGGAUUUACCAUGAAGCCAUCUUGACGGCGCAAGAGACAACAGGUGACCAUCAUCAACACAUUCCCGGAACGGUUCACUGGGUCUUCGAGACGAACCAACAGAGAGUUCCGAGGAUAGAAAUAAUCCCUCGCCAACUUCUGCGGUCAAUCGGCCCUCAGUCAGCUUCACCAGUUCCGGAAAGGAAGAUUUCAGGACCUGUAAAUUAAUUCUCAAUAAAGUUGUUCUAAAGAUUCGUCCACUAACUC